CAGUCAAAUUUCAUCCUAAUCAAUUUUUAUUUUUUUGCUUUUUCAUCUUUAGCUUCGAUUUCACUUCAUAAUCAACACCUAAGUGUUAUCUGAUGGAUUCUUCAUCUUAUUCCGAGUCGACGUCGACGAAUGGUGGAGUUACCAUGAUAAUUCAUUUGCAACUUCUAAGGCUCUGCAUAUAGCUAAUAAGAUCAACUCUUCAUCAACAUUCCAUGUAUUGGAAGCCUUUUUCCACCAUCAGGUGCUAUUUUAUGGGAAGGUGACAUUUAACAAGUCUAAAGCAGCUGUGAGGGAGC